UACGUAGGGUGCGAGCGUUAAUCGGAAUUACUGGGCGUAAAGCGUGCGCAGGCGGUUACAUAAGACAGAUGUGAAAUCCCCGGGCUUAACCUGGGAACUGCGUUUGUGACUGUGUGACUAGAGUACGGCAGAGGGGGGUGGAAUUCCUGGUGUAGCAGUGAAAUGCGUAGAUAUCAGGAGGAACAUCGAUGGCGAAGGCAGCCCCCUGGGAUAACACUGACGCUCAUGCACGAAAGCGUGGGGAGCAAACAGG
rnacentral:rRNA from 1 species